UGGUGUUACUGCGAAGGGGGGACGGAGAAGGCUAGGCUAGCCGGGCGACGGUUGUCCCGGUUUAAGCGUGUAGGGGGUGUGACCUGGUAAAUCCGGUUACAUAUCAACCCUGAGGCGUGAUGACGAUGCACUACGGUGCAGAAGUAGUUGAUGCCCUGCUUCCAGGAAAAGCCUCUAAGCUCUAGGUAACAUUGAAUCGUACCCCAAACCGACACAGGUGGUCAGGUAGAGAAUACCAAGGCGCUUGAGAGAACUCGGGUGAAGGAACUAGGCAAAAUGGU
rnacentral:rRNA from 1 species